CAACCUGCCCACCACUUGGGGAUAACCUUGCGAAAGUAAGACUAAUACCCAAUGACGUCUCUAGAAGACAUCUGAAAGGGAUUAAAGAUUUAUCGGUGAUGGAUGGGGAUGCGUCUGAUUAGCUUGUUGGCGGGGUAACGGCCCACCAAGGCGACGAUCAGUAGGGGUUCUGAGAGGAAGGUCCCCCACAUUGGAACUGAGACACGGUCCAAACUCCUACGGGAGGCAGCAGUGAGGAAUAUUGGUCAAUGGACGAGAGUCUGAACCAGCCAAGUAGCGUGCAGGAAGACGGCCCUAUGGGUUGUAAACUGCUUUUAUAAGGGAAUAAAGUGAGUCUCGUGAGACUUUUUGCAUGUACCUUAUGAAUAAGGACCGGCUAAUUCCGUGCCAGCAGCCGCGGUAAUACGGAAGGUCCGGGCGUUAUCCGGAUUUAUUGGGUUUAAAGGGAGCGUAGGCCGGAGAUUAAGCGUGUUGUGAAAUGUAGACGCUCAACGUCUGCACUGCAGCGCGAACUGGUUUCCUUGAGUACGCACAAAGUGGGCGGAAUUCGUGGUGUAGCGGUGAAAUGCUUAGAUAUCACGAAGAACUCCGAUUGCGAAGGCAACUCACUGGAGCGCAACUGAC
rnacentral:rRNA from 1 species